CAACAAUUACUACGAGGAUGAAAGUAAAAUCUUCAUAUUAUACUCUUAGCUUUGCAUACAUGAUACAUCUUUUUUUGAGAAACAUGUCCUCUGUUGGACGCUAGCUCACUAAAAUGAUAAGAACACAUUUUUAGCACAAACAAAGCAAGACCAAAUGCUUUACUAUUGAGGUCUCAAACAUAUCAUUUUUUGCAAGAAUAAAAAAGUCACUAAGUUACACACAAGAGGGAAUCAAGUCUGGAGUAGAUAUUUUAUCUACAUUCUUCAACUGCAGAAUCUGAAUAGAAGCCCUAUGGGCGCUGGUACCAGCACAUUCCCUGGACAUCCUCUGUUAGAUCGGUAGCAAUCCAGGCAGCAGCUCAAUGGAAACAAAACUGAUGGGAAAGAAGACAACCAAUCAUAACAUAUUUUGUGCGAGAAAAAAGAACAUUAUGAUUUUGCUACGAGUACGACCUUCUGCACACCAGUAUAAAUGAAAUGCUCAUAAGCCAUAAUCAUUGUCAUCUAGCGCUCAGUGUUGUAAAAAAUCAUUUGCAAGUACAACAUGAUAAAAGAAAAGCUACAUGCUAAGAGAAGUUGCAUAAAGCUUUUGUUCAUUUCAUCACAAGGCAUUUAUGUACAUAUACAUUUCAGGACCAUGGACUGUCAGUGAAGAUAGAUAUUUUUUCCCCUCUUGACAGGAGAUGUAAAUACCAAAAACUUGCUGAAAACUGAUUGCAUCUACAUGUACAAAACAAACCCGCUGCACUUGCACCGAGAUUUCCUGCCCCGUAAAUAGUAUGAAACGUUCGGAUUAAUUAACUAAGGGUUUUUUAUCGCCAAGGACAUGAAAGUGAAAUCUAACAUAGAAAUAUAGAGCCAGAUAAACAUAGUUCUUAUCAAGAUGGAUGUAUGGUUCAGAAGAUACAUAUAGGAAGAGUCUCAAUCCUAAAUAGUAAAGUACAUUGGUGCAUCAAGAAAGGACUAACUCAUAUAUCGAAGGUCAAAAAUAACCAAUAUAUUUAUGAGCAAGCCAGCCGGUGCCAUGGUUUUAUACUAACUAACUACUUCAUUAAGAAUGUAUUUAGAUACGUUCUAAAUAAGUUUUGAGUUUUAUUUCAUAGCAUAUAACAAUUUGGGCAAAUCGGCAAUGGGGUUGACCAUUCUCACACAAAUUUCAUCAGAGGUUUCCAGAUGUCUAGAGACAACACGUGUAUGGAAAUAUAUCACAACUAAGCAACAGAAUCAGGAGAUGAAUAAUAGCAACAAAGAACGAAGAUAAGAACAGCCUAGGGUACAACACACUGACCUGAUUUGCUGAUUUUGUAGCACCAUAUCUUGUUGGAUGCUGGCCUCCUCCUGAUCAACCAACAGAUGCGAUGGCCUUAUUAAAAUAGGCUGGCAAAUGCAAAACCAAGGAAAGGAGAUCAAGGAACCGAAUUAAAUUCUGGAAAAAAGGGACCUCGCAAUCAAACCUUGCAAGGGGGCGAGGAGUGCACGAUGAUUAAAGAUGGGGCGCAUCCAGAUUUUGGCUGAUGGUGAAGCUGAGGGACACAGGGG
rnacentral:lncRNA from 1 species